rnacentral:misc_RNA from 1 species
AAAGUCGUAACAAGGUUUCCGUAGGUGAACCUGCGGAAGGAUCAUUAUCGAGCAAGGAACGUCGAUGUUCGCGGCAACGCAGCGUCGACGUCUAACCUGCCACCCUUGAAUAAAUUACCUUUGUUGCUUUGGCGGGCCGCCUUUUGGCCAGCGGCUUCGGCUGUUGCGUGCCCGCCAGAGGACCACAACUCUUGUUUUUAGUGAUGUCUGAGUACUAUAUAAUAGUUAAAACUUUCAACAACGGAUCUCUUGGUUCUG